rnacentral:rRNA from 1 species
AAUUUGAAAUCUGGCAGUCUUUUUUUUCUUCUUUGGCUGUCCGAGUUGUAAUCUAGAGAAGUGCUUACCUGCACUGGACCAUGUAUAAGUCUCCUGGAAUGGAGCCUCACAGAGGGUGAGAAUCCCGUCUUUGACAUGGACUGCCAGUGUGUUGUGGUGUGCUCUCAAAGAGUCGAGUUGUUUGGGAAUGCAGCUCUAAAUGGGUGGUAAACUCCAUCUAAAGCUAAAUAUUGGCGAGAGACCGAUAGCGAACAAGUACCGUGAGGGAAAGAUGAAAAGGACUUUGGAAAGAGAGUUAAACAGUAUGUGAAAUUGUUGAAAGGGAAACGCUUGAAGUCAGUUAUGUUGGUUAGGGAUCAGCCUAGCUCUUUUUGUUGGGUGAAUUUCCUAGUCUGACAGGCCAACAUCAGUCUUGACUGCUGGAAAAGAGCAGAGGGAAUGUGGCACCUUUGGGUGUGUUAUAGCCCUUUGUCAUAUGCGACAGUUGGGACUGAGGGAUGCAGCAUGCCGCAAGGCAGGGUUUCUGACCAUGUUCAUGCUUAGGAUGUUGGCUUUUAAUGGCUUUAAUCGACCCGUCUUGAAACACGGACCAAGGAGUCUAACAUGCCUGCAAGUGUUUGGGUGGAAAACCCUUGUGCACAAUGAAAGUGAAAGUUGAGAUCCCUGUCAUGGGGAGCAUUGACGCCCGGACUGGAGCUUUUAGCAAUGGAUCCGCGGUAGAGCAUGCAUGUUGGGACCCGAAAGAUGGUGAACUAUGCCUGAAUAGGGCAAAGCCAGAGGAAACUCUGGUGGAGGCUCGUAGCGAUUCUGACGUGCAAAUCGAUCGUCAAAUUUGGGUAUAGGGGCGAA